UAUGUAGGCGGCGCUGUUAGUCGGGUGUGAAAUCCCUCGGCUCAACCGAGGAAUUGCGCCCGAUACUGCAGUGCUUGAGGGAGACAGAGGUAAGCGGAACUGAUGGUGGAGCGGUGAAAUGCGUUGAUAUCAUCAGGAACACCGGUGGCGAAAGCGGCUUACUGGGUCUCUUCUGACGCUGAGAUACGAAAGCUAGGGGAGCGAAGG
rnacentral:rRNA from 1 species